GUUUCAGCAGCCGCGGUAAUACGAGAGGCCCAAACGUUAUUCGGAAUUACUGGGCUUAAAGAGUUCGUAGGCGGCAUGAAAAGCAGGGUGUGAAAGCCCUCGGCUCAACCGAGGAAUUGCGCUCUGAACUGUCGUGCUAGAGGAAUCUAGAGGUGAGCGGAACUGAUGGUGGAGCGGUGAAAUGCGUUGAUAUCAUCAGGAACACCGGAGGCGAAGGCGGCUCACUGGGGAUUUUCUGACGCUGAGGAACGAAAGCCAGGGGAGCGAACGGGAUUAGAAACCCCCGUAGUCC
rnacentral:rRNA from 1 species